rnacentral:lncRNA from 1 species
GUAAGAGCACUGACUGCUCUUCCAAAGGUUCUGAGUUCAAACCCCACCAACCACAUGGUGGCUCACAACCACCUGUGAUGAGAAUUGACGCCCUCUUCUGAUGUGUCUGAAGACAGCUAUAGUGUACUUAUGUAUAAUAGUAAAUAAAUCUUUUUAAAAAAAAAAAAAAGAAAGAAAGAAAGAAAAGAAAAAAGAAAACUGACCUCAGUACAUGGUGGCAGUUAGACAAAACUCACCUCCUGCAGUAAAUAGUCAGAAGUGAAUUGAAGCUAAUUAUAUUAAUUCAUUCCAAGCCGCCUGUGUUAAUGUUUUAUUUUCAUAAACUUCUUAAAACCAGAUGGACAACCAAGACAGAUAGCUCAGGUGAAAGCAGGUAAGUAUCUAGAAAACAGCAUUCAUACGAUACACUCAAUAGAACAGUAACAUAGUCAGUUGUUUUACUAAAGCACUGCAUCUUUGAUAUUCAUCUACAGUCCCAGAACUAUAAUCUCAAUAAUCCAUAGGUUGAGGCAGAAGAUCUCAAACUUGAAACCAGCCUGGAUUAGAUAGUGAGAUCAUGUCUUAAAAAGCAAAGCAAAAACACAUAUUAUUUUUUUAAACGUUAGGAAAAGGAAUUGUUAGUAGAAUUUCUCAGUGACACAUCCGGCUCUCUAGGAAUCUACUGUGAAUUUGAAUUGUACAGUAUUGCACUAAAGUCUUUUUUUUUUCUGAGACUCCAACCUUUAGUACUUAAAAAUAGAAUAACUGAUUAUAAAUAAUAAAUUGUAUCUAAAGUGAUUAAAAUAAAACAUUAGAUAAGAAAAAAAACUAUUCAAAAAAUAUUAGAAAUUUGAAAAAUACAUAGAAAAAUAAGAAAAAUACCAAGCUUGGUAACACAUCUUUAAUCUCAGCACUUGCAAAUCAGAGGCUGGUGGAUCACUGGGGGUUCAAGGUCAACCUGGUCUACGAAGCAAGUUCCAGAACAGCCAGGGUUGUACCAUUAGACCCUGUCUCACAAAACCAAAAAGAUCAUACAAGUAUUCCAUGGGUGUAGAGCACAUGCCUGUAAUCCUAGACCCUGGGGACAGAGAAAAGCGGAGGGAGCCUAUUUAAGGCCAGCCUUGCUACAUAGCAGAUUUCAGAUCAACCUGGCUACACAGUAAUAAUUUGCCAAGCACGGGUGAGGCAAUCUACAGAGAAUUACUAAGUUGAGCCAGAAUCCAACACAGAUGAAAGUACAUCUUGAUAGAAAAGAAAAGAGACAAAGGCAGUCAUCUGAUUGACUGUAGGAGAGUCAAGAAUUUGAAGAAAUGCAAACAAGUUGGGAUUUUCUAAAUUGAUGAAGUAUAUGAAAAUUUAAAUUUAGAAAAUGUGAAUCCCAGUCUAGGGAAGUUAAAUAUGUCUAGAAACAUGACUACUAAGUUUGCUUAAGAGAAAUCACAUGAAUUAGUGUAUGAAAUGGCUGCAAUAUCUUUCUUUUGGUUUUGUUUUUGUUUUUUUCAAGACAGGGUUUCUCUGUGUAGCCCAGGCUGUCCUGGAAUUCACUCUGUAGACCAGGCUGGCCUCGAACUCAGAAAUCCACCUGCCUCUGCCUCCCGAGUCCUGGGAUUAAAGGCGUCCACCACCACGCCCUGCUUGGCUGCAGCAUCUUAAUGCUUGUCUUUUCAACACUUUUUUUGUAUUUGGUGUGACUUUAAUGUUUCUGCUUAUAUUUUGGUAUUCUUUUUGCAAGAAGCACAAAUUACUUGUAUAAUCAGAGACAUGCUGGGAGACUAAUAAUAUCAUCUUAAAGAAUCUGAAGAACUAGAAAUUCUGGAGGCUGGGGAGAUGGGUCAUUUAGGUAAAGUCCUGAUGCAAGCCUCAGGACCUGGGUUCGGAUCACCAGUCCCCAUAGAAAAGAUAGAGGAAGACACCCACAUGGGUGCUCAGAAAGACACACACACACUACUGUAGAAAAUAACAUUUCUGAAUUUGCUUAUUCCCCUUCAUGGAACUAUGAAACAAGGACUUUAUAUUAAGUUCUCAUAUUAAGAAACAAAUGUUAAAUAGUUAUUGAUUCUAUAGAAAUGCUUUAUCUAUAUUUGUUUUUCUGUUUUUGUGUUUUGUUUUGUUUUGUCUUUUGACUAAAGGAUUGGUUACGAGAUAGACCAUCAAACAGAGAAAUGUAAGUAUUUUCUUAAUGACCUGAAAAGUAUCUGAGUUAAUGAAUACUGUCUUUGUUCUUUUCUGUCUUUCCUCUUUAAUAAUCUUUUUAAGAUAGUUGUUAUAGCAUUUCUCAUCUUUACAGACAUGAAAUUGGAGGAUCUUUACUAUAAUCUUCCUAUAUAGUUACACAGAUUUUUCUUAUUCAGUUUUCUCUUAACUAAUUUUGGUGACAGACCUAUGUGGUGUCUUAUAUUUGUACUUGGUUAGUAUUAAUAUAUUUAUCAAUCAUUCUAACUGAACAUUAUACUGCGUGUGGAAAAUAUCUUGAUUUGAGUAGUAGUAAUACACAGAAUAUUUUAGAAAGCUUGGAUACUGAGUUUAUCU